rnacentral:lncRNA from 1 species
CAUUCAGGUUCCCUGGAAAACGACCCCUGCCUGGAAGCCGGGCUCCUCGGCCGCGGGGCAACGGUUCUCUGUGAAUCCCUGAGCUCUGCGUCGAUGGAAGCGCAUGCUUUCUCUGAGAGGUCAGAACUAGGCGUGGUGAAGUGGACGCUGUGCUGGGCCUUGAAGAGGACGGCCUGGACCAAACGUGUGUGCGCGUUGCAGUCACACGGAGGGCUUGUGCAAACGUAGAGCUGCUGGUGUGUUAGGUCUGUGAUGGGCCCUGAGAAUUUGCAUUUAAAACAAAUUCACGGAGGCUGCUGAAGCUCCCUCUGAGGACCAUGGGCCUCCCCGGUGGAAGACCUGGGGCUGAAUCCCAGAUUCCUUGCUUUACUAGCUGUGACUGAGGGAAUUUAGUUAUCUGAGUCUCGGCUCCUUCUCUGUAAACUGAACUGUAAACUCCCUGUUUAUCCAUUUUGUUAGACUUGUGUGAAAAGGAAAUAAAAUAAUAUAUUUGCAAAUUA